UCGGACGCUUAACCGACUGCGCCACCCAGGCGCCCCAGAAGAUUAUUAUGUCUUAAUCUCUCUCUAUCCAGACCACAUCUGAACCAGCCACACCCAUGGAACACAAACCAGUCUCUCAUUACAGAGAAGGAAAUCUGACCCAGCUAUUCCCCGGCUUAAAACACCUUUCAGUGACGUGUUCGGCAGGAGGCGGUGGAGGCAGUGAGCAUUUGGAUCCAGGGAACAUUCCACAUUAUAGUACACUCGUCUGUUCAUUGACUGAUUUAGCAAGCAUUUAAUUAGCACCUACUGUGUGCUAGGCACAUGUUACUUCAUCUUCACAGCAAGGUUUUAGGACCAUGUAUUUGUUUCGCUUUAUAACAAACCACCCCACACCUGGUGGCUUAGAGCAACAAACAUUUUGUUAUCUCACAGGAUCCAAGCAGAACUCAGCUGGAUACCUCCGGGUCAAGGUCUCUCGUGAGGUCACAAUCGAGCUGUCCACCAGGGCCGCAGUCAUCUCAAGGCUUGGCUGAGGCUGCAGAAUCCAUUCCCGAGCUCACGCACAAGGUUUUGGUCAAGCCUCAGGAGGUUCACGCUUGGCCCUCUCACACUCGGCCUAACUCACACAGGCUUCUCCACAGGGCUGCCUUACAACAUGGCUGCUGGCUCACCCCGGGCCGCUGAUGUGAGUGACAGCAAGAGUGCCCAAGACAGAAGGCGCGAUCUCUUCAUAACUCCGUCUUAGGAGUAACAUGCCAUUACUCCUGCCACAUUCUGUUCAUUAGAAGAAUUCAGAGGCAGCUUGGCUGGGUGGUUCUGAUUCAGGGUCUCUCAUGAGGCUGUAGUUAAGCUGUGGGCCAGAACUGCAGCUUUGAAGAUUUGACUGGGGCUAAGGAUCCACUUCCGGGAUGGCUCACUCACACGGCUGUUGAUGGAAGGCCUCAGUUUCUGGCCGCAUGGACCCCUCUAUAACAGUGCCUGAGUAUCUUUGCAACACAGACGCUGGAUUCCUCCAGAAGAAGUGAUUCAAGAGAGCCUGAGCGGAAGCCUCAAUGCCCUUUAUGACUUUGUCUCAGGAGUCAUACACUGUCAUUUCUGCAAUG